rnacentral:lncRNA from 1 species
GGUGAAGGAAAGGCCUGAUCACCUGGUGACGCAUUUGCAGGAUGAUUCGAACCCGCGGACGGAGGCUGCACAAAGAAGUAGAGAUUGCAUGUUUGAGUAAUAUGGGAAAACAAUAUUAAAAAUUUUGGCAGCACCUCCCCUGAACAGGGAGGUUUACAAAACCUGCAAAAACAACGGCACGAAGGCCGACAUCCAGAACGGCACGAAGGCCGACAUCCACAACAGCACGAAGGCCAACAUACAUGCAAAGACAAGUGAAAAGCGGACUUUUAUACUUACAGGAGUAGCUGUAGGAGUAGGAGGUGGAGGAGCUGAAAACAGCACAGGUACACCCGAUGCUUGCCCAAGACUUUGCAUGAUCGCCAUCAUCUCCGCCAUCUGCUUCUGCGCUCCCUCGAACGCGGCCUUCUGUGCCUCUAGCUGUGCGGUUAGUGCCGCGGUCUGCUCUUGGCUUUGCCUUUUUG